UUUAGCUGAAAUGGGGAUGUUUAUUUAUUUAAGCACAUUUAUCAAAAUCACCCUGAAUAAGGGAGACUGACAUUCUGGAUGACUGGUGUACACCUUCAUGAGAAACAGCCCAGAUUAGCUCUUCUCACUGACCUUCACCAUGAUGAUUUGGAAAGAAAUGAGAAAAGAGAGUGACAGAAAGGAAUAUAUAGGUCUAUUUCAGUUCUCAUCUUACAUUAAAAUUCCAAAAUGUCUUCUUUCUUUCUCAUAUACCUCCAAAUUGUUCCAAAACCUGCAGACUGCUUUAUUCUCAGUAAUUUAUUUUCUCAUUCAAUUGUUCUCCUGAUACUAGAGUUCCUUUAGAUGUCACAAUGUUCUAAUUGCUUAAUCGUACCCUGGCAUAGUCCUUAUUUCCUUCAGUUUUUCUUCUUUCUCCCAUGAGAAACACAAAGGGCAUCCAUUUCUCCCAGCUCUUUUGUGUCUCUCAUUGUGAAGACUGAGACAAAGGAUUAGCUAGGACCGAUAACAUUUGUCAGUCCAAUUAUCCUGAGAUUUUGUGUUUAUAACCACUAUUUCAUUUAUAAUAUAAAGACAACGUUUUUAUUUAUUUCUUUACUUCCAGCUUCUAUUUUCCUGGCCUGGACUAUCAUUUAUGAAAUAGAGUAGACAACCGAGACAUAGGUAGACAAUUUACUUAUUUAAGAAAAUGAAAGAGGAGGAAGAGGACACUUUCCUGAAACAUCCAGUAACUCAGGCUUUGUCUGAUAAUCCAAGAUUAUCAUAGAUUUUAUAAUCCUCAACCCUAUAUAAUCCCCAGAUCCAAGACCUUUUUGGCAUUCUGAAUUGGUAAUUAUUAUAAUGCUUGUAUCCACACCAGUACUCCGUAUAUAAUGUUGGUCUAGGUAAGGGCAGACACAGUUCCCAGCUACUCAGGAGGCUAAUAAAGGAGGAUUGCUUGAGGCCAGGAGUUGGAGGCCGCAGUGCACCCUGAUCAGGCCAGUGAAUAGCCACUGAACUCCAGCCUGGGUAACAUAGCUAAGACCCUGUCUCUUAAAAAAAAAAAAAAAUGUUGUUGGUCUAGGUAACUGUGCUAGUUAAAGUCAUCAUUGUCUACCUUCCCUAGGGACCCGGCGGCGUCCCAGAGGACCCGCGACUGAGCCCGGUGCGACGCGUGGCCUUGGGCUGGGCGCCAUGGACGCCUUCACUCGCUUCACCAACCAGACCCAGGGCCGGGACCGGCUCUUCAGAGCCACUCAAUACACAUGCAUGUUGCUUAGAUAUUUGUUAGAGCCUAAAGCUGGCAAAGAGAAGGUGGUAAUGAAGCUCAAGAAACUGGAGUCCAGUGUGAGCACUGGCCGUAAAUGGUUCAGACUAGGCAAUGUGGUACAUGCUGUGCAGGCGACUGAGCAGAGCAUUCAUGCCACUGACCUGGUACUCCGCUUGUGCCUGACAUUGGCCAACCUGAACCGUGUGAUUUAUUUCAUCUGUGACACCAUCCUCUGGGUGAGGAGUGUAGGUCUCGCCUCUGGCAUCAACAAAGAGAAAUGGCGAACAGGGACUGCCCACCACUACUACUAUUCUCUCCUGCUGAGCCUGGGCAGGGAUCUGUAUGAAAUCUCCCUGCAGAUGGAACGGGUUGCACACAGCAGGGCAAAGAGGGAGAAAUCAUCACCCCAGGAUCCUCUUGAGUACAAUGUGGCUAACAAGGAAACAGAAUGGCUCCAGUCCUUUCUCCUUCUUUUAUUCCAAGCUCUGAAGCAGCAUCCUCCCUUGCUCCUGGACACAGUGAAGAACUUCUGUGAUAUUCUGAACGCUUUGGACCAGCUAGGGAUCUAUAAGUCCAAUCCUGGCAUCAUUGGACUUGGAGGUCUCGUGUCCUCUAUAGCAGGCAUGAUCACUGUGGCAUAUCCUCAGAUGAAGCUGAAGACCCGCUAGGGUGUUUCAGGCUGAGAACUAGUACCUGCCUUAAAAGAUGACCUCUUAGUGGAUCAGACAUUUGCAUUAAUCACAGGCCAUCUCAGACUGUGCUUCAGUUCUUGGUCAUGUGAGCAUUUAGCGACCUGUGAUGUGAGAAGAGGCGGGGCCAAGAAUGGAGAAGGGGGGAGCAUGAAGAUUUAUAUAUGUUUUUUUUAGAGUGCUGGAGUGACUUGAGAAUUUCAGAAUAUUUUCCCUUCACCUAACAUUUAUUUAGCAUCUCUUAUGGCAUAGUAGGAGCUUAGUGUUUGCUAAAUGAAUAAAAAUUAAAAGGGGAAAAAUUGAAAAAGAGCCAAUCAAACUAAUAAGUGAACACUAAUAAAGAGUAACUUUUGGGUUG